rnacentral:lncRNA from 1 species
UCAGGUAUCAGGUUUAUUCUCUGAAAAGGGAGACUUAUUUAACCGUUUUUUUAUCUCAUUUGAAUUUUUUUUCUGAUAAUAGAAAAAUUCUUUUUUUUCUUCUAAUUUCAUCAGUUAAUCCUUACUCUGCUGGUAAUUUCUUUUCUUCAUUCUAAAUUGGAAGCAAUUGAGAUUCAAGAAAUAAUAACAACAAAAAAUCAAACAACUCCAUAAGAUUAAUCAACAAAACAACAACCUAACCAGAACCCAACAAAUAAAAUAAUACAAAAGCAGAACAAAUAAAAGAAAAGUCCAUGCUGCGGUUGUUGAAGAUUGGAGAGGAGUAAGCAAUGGAUUGUGCGAGGGCAACACUGAGCACUGUAGAGGUCAUGAGCGUGGUGGUGGUUGCCGGUGAGGAGCGGAGGCACACAGGGAGGAGCGAAUCUCAGAUCUGAAAAAAAAAAUGAUGUUUAUGUUACGCUCUUUUCUCCUUUUCGGGUGGUUUUCCAGGUCUGCAUCGCCAAUCUCCCUUCGCUUCCAGAUCGAUUUGCACCUACGAUUCCUCCCUCAGUUUCCAGAUCUGCACUACAUGAACAUACCAUGGGCUUUGAUGGCGCUGCAUAUCAAAGAUGAUUGAUGUGUUGUGUUUCUUGGAGAACUUUCCAAAUUGUGUUUCAAUCUCACUUUUGUUGAUUCUAUUUCUUGUGACUUUGAAAUAAAUUAUGCCUCUUGUAAAAAUAGAUUUUUGUUAAAAACAAUUACUAACCAAAUAACCCAGUUAAUACUAUCCUUUCUACUUUCUAGAAGAAUUUAUUGCAACCGUAUCUUUAAUUCAAAAUCAAAGGAGAACUCAAUUGUUUGAAUCAAAUUUAAUAAUAGAAAAAAAACACUAAAAGAAAAACUGAUGAAAAA